UUCCCCACCAGCACAGAGCUGGCACCCAUCCCAUAAGGCUGUACACUGGGCACUCCACAGUGCUGUACACUGACCACCCCAUAGUGCUGUACACUGACCACCCACCCCACAAGGCUAUGCACUGAUCAUAGCACAAUGCUGUACACUGACCACCCACCCCACAAGGCUACGCACUGACCACCCAACAAUGCUGUAUACUGACUACCCCACAAGGCUAUGCACAGACCACAGCACAAUGCUGUACACUGACCACCCCACUAUGCUGUACACUGAUCAUCCCACAAUGCUGUACACUGGCCACCCACCCCACAAUGCUCUACACUGACCACCCACCCCACAAGGCUAUGCAUUGACCAUUCCAUAAUGCUGUACACUGACCACCCCACAAGGCUAUGCACUGACCACCCCACAAGGCUAUGCACUGACCACACAUUCCACAAUGCUGUACACUGACCUCCCCCACAAGGCUAUACACUGACCAUCCCACAAUGCUGUACACUGACCACCCCACAAUGCUGUACACUGACCCCCCCACACACAAGGCUAUGCACAAGUCACUGUGAAGGUUUAGGCGCUUAGUAGAGUUAGGUCUUUCUUACAGGUGAGUGGUCUGCUACUUCCCAAACUAGUCAGCCCAUUCCUAAUUGCCAUUUUCCGUGUAAGCUAACCCAGGUGUGGUGGUUUCAAUGGGAAACCCCCAUAGGCUCAUGCACUUGAACAUCCCCAGUUGGUAGUGCCACUUGGCGAGGCUACUGGGGACUUUUAGAAUGGAGAACAUCGCUGGAAGAAUUAUAUUACUGGGGUCAGGCUGCGAGACUUCACAACCACCCCACUUCCGGUUUGCUGUCUCUGCUUCCUGUGUGUGCAACUGAGAUGUGACCGUUUAGAUUCCAGUUCCUGCAACGCUCUUGCUGCUCAUGCUUGCUGCCUCCUGCCGUGACUUCCUGCCAUCGUGGGUAUCUGGUUCUCUGGGACCAUGAGAAGUCACCUUGAUGUUCCCUCCCUCAAGCCAUUGGAAAACCGUUCAACUUUGUGUCCUUAGAUUUUCUCAUUCUUGGCACUCCUUUUGGUCCAUACUCGCCGCCUGGGCCCCGUACCACCCACUGCCCGACCCUACUUGCCCUUGGGGUUCGGAGACGAGGUGGCUCAGAAUCAACAGCACAGACUCCAGGAGCAGGCGAGAAACACCGCAGUAAGCUUGCAUGAAUCCUGCCACAGGCCCAUUUAAUAAUCCGUGGGUGUGCCCUUCAUACCCUCCACAGUCUCAUUUAAUAAUCCAUAGGGGUGCAGUUCAUACCCUCCACCUGUCCCACUGUUCCUAA